UGAUGGCCAUGCUCUUCCGCAAAGCAGUUAUGACUGUGUCGGCGAGACACACGUGUUAUAUUCGGUCGCAAAAGCUUCGCCCAAACCGCGUGAGCGGAUGGUGAAGGGCACCCCAGCGCCUUCUACUGGCACGCCGACUGCAGUUGAGCGAAGGGACGGAGCUAGUGAUGCCCUCCGUGCCGACGUGUGUCUAGACCCUGCUCCUGAACACGUCUUCGCCUCGGAGACUGUAAUUCGCGCGACUGCAAGUCGAGAACUCAGGUUUAAAACUACGGAGCCGUUUAUUGAGAAGUGACGGGUGAUUCGAGACCCAGCAAGCAGAUCAAGAUGCGACUGGCGCCCACUCGGCAACCAACCUUGCCCAUCGAAUUCCCGUGUUCUCGCAACCACGCUUCCGUCGCCCAUUUUCCCUGGCAGUGAAGUGAGUCGAUCGUGCUACGACGCCCACGCAGCAGCUGAGUGCUUCAGUCAUCACCGACGCUUCCCUACAAUCUCGAGAAGCCACAGGGUACCACAACACGUCAGCGCAUCGAUGCCAACCAAAAUGAUCAUCACCGCGGUGCAAAUUCAUGGCUAGUUGACAAGCUUCCCCUGCGCUUCGUGUUCGCUCGUCUCUACUCUUGGGCAGUCUCCAACUGCACUAACGCCAGCCCCUGUAAAAGCUUUUAAGGAUUCAUUCGGUGACGCAUUCAGCAUGGAUUCUUCCACUCGAUACUACAAAUCUUGGAAAGACGGGUGAUCCGCUGUGUCUUGAUGCAGCUUUAUAUGGCGUUUUAAAAUCGGAGCUUUUCUUUGCGAACCUCACCGGUUUUGUGACCGUGGAAGUUGCGGCCUAGCUGGCUGUUUCCUUGCCGAAUAGCACCCAACCAACCCAACCAACCAACCUGGUUCCUUGCAACACCACCAGAUGACGCUCGCCUCCAUCCAUCCUCGGCAGUGGCGGCGUCGGCCGUGCGGGGGAACGAAAAAAAAGAACCAGAAAGCUCGCCUUCGCGCACCCGCGGCUGCAUGCGCAGUAACGAGGAAGUAAACGCUUCUUGCGGAUUGAAUGAAUUCGAAUUGUGCUACGUCGCGCCACUGGAGGUUACUGCCACUCGGAGCAAGAGCUGCAGCAACAAGGUUGUUCCUCGUGAAACAAAUUCGCUUCGACCGCGAUCCUGCAUCCUUCACAAAUGAAGAUGACGGUGGCACGCUCUCCCUGUCAUCGCGUCGCUAGUGCGCCGGGAGGCGCUAACCGGAAAAACGCAAGCUGGGACACCCCCAUGGGAAAAUGCGUGCAGCUAUGAAGAAGGCAAAGAGCCGGCAUGAUCGCUUCCUGAGCAGACGUGGCAUCUGAAAUAGUCCGGCACACAGCAUCCGUUCUCAUUAACUCCGGACCCGUCAAGCACCCUUCAUCGUCGCCGCCAACGCAGCGUCCCAGCUCCCGGACGGGCCACCGGCCUGUCACCGCCAGGGCUUCGUAACGUCGUUCGGCGUACUACUUGUCGGCUCCGAACUGGGACGGAGCCGCCAAAGCGGUCCUUCCCGCAGGAACCAACCUCCGGUUCGUGCCAAGACCCAAAUAGAAGCAAACAGAAAAGGAGGAGCCGAGCAAGACAGCGCCAGUGGUGGAGGCGAUGCCGGCUCGGUGGGGAAGGAAGGGCGAGCCAUGGAGACGCAUUUGAAAUGCGAAUUUUCUCCGGGACGCUCCGGCCAACCGAGCGAGACAGACCAACCGAGAGAGGCCCGCCACCACCGCCUAUGUGGGGGAGUGCGGGGAAAGCGGAGGGGGGGCAGAGGGGGGAGGCGUUGUCGUCUCUUCCUCUUCCCCUCACUCUUCCUUGACUGUACAGAGGCUUCCUACUCAUAUUUCUUAAACUCACUACUAUACUGUACGCCCUCGUCUUGUGCUUACGUCUUUCUCGUUCUGCCACUGCUUUUCUUUUUUGCCUGGCCCUUUCUUUAUUAUUAUUUAUAUUCUUUCUUGUAGAUACACUGUCUGGCAUUUCGGAAUGCUUCGCGUUUUGCCCGACAGUUUUCUGAUAUUGUGCACUAUCUCAACACCGAGUCCGUCGUCAUUAUCGUUUCCUUAUUCUUUUACUGCUUGCUUCCUUCGGUUCUGUAUGUUCGUCCUCCUCUCACUUUAUUUUUUUCGUCGCCUACGUUAUUCUUUCGUCUUCUCAGUGUACCUCUCGCUUCGUUGAUUCCUUCCUUCGUUCGCUGCUUUUUCAUUCCUCGCGUAGAACGCGCGUUGGAGUUUACACUUUUCCAUUUUCGGGGCGCGUGCGUUUGAUCUCAGUACUGCGAAGAAAAAAAAACUGAUUGCUUCUGCACCAAGUGGAGGCGAGAUAGAAAAUAAAGGUUGUAAGAGCGGCCGUAUAUGGGCAGAAGACGAGGAGCGGCCGGCGUAAGACGGGAGGACCAAGGCGCGCACCGUCUCUUUUGCGUUUUGUUAUGGUCAUUUUUAAAACCCGGAAGCGACUGGGAAAGUGUGACAGGAUGUACAAGACUCGAAGGGCAAAAUAAAAGAGAAAAGAAAACAGUAAAAAGUUUGGAGGUCGGAGCAGAGAUGAGGCACAAAAUGAGAAGCAUUGAAAAAGCAGUAUGCUCGAUGACAUUGUUUUUUCUUUUCUGCAUUAAUUCAAAGCUUACAGCUGUAAGCUGUCAAGGAAUAACGUGCAACCAACCUUCAAUUUGUAUGGAUUAAGAAACAUAUCACGUGCACAGGGUCCCGUGCACACGAUCGCGGACACGCACAGGGCUGACAAGCUUGCAGAUAAUCAACCCACGUGACGAAAGUUAAGGCGAAUGGACGCCGAUGUUAUGUGAAAGCUAGAAAGUGACUACAAUGUUUUGCACGUCACCCAUCGAGUUAUAGACCAGUGACUAUGGAGUUGCGCUGCAAAGGUCGAGGGCGUGGGUUCGAAGGGGCGAGAUGCAAAAUACGCUCGUGUACCUAGAUUUAGAUGCACGUUAAAGAACUCCGAGUGGUCAAAUAUAAUCUGGAGUCCCCUCGCUAUACGGAGUGCAUCAAUGAUCGUAUUGCGUGUCUUGCACGUAGAACCCCUCCAAUUCGAUUUGGUUUUUUGACGUCACGGCAGUAUUCGGCCGACGACCCUUUAUAGAUAUCCUUUCGAAAGCUGUCCAGUGCCAAUAAAUGUACCCAUUUGUGCUCUGAGUCACCAACCUUGUGCAGCGUUGCCGGUGCUUCGGCUCCUAUUGGCGGCAAGAACAAAAUAAAAUACAGUGUGA